rfam:Lactobacillus harbinensis DSM 16991 NODE_19, whole genome shotgun sequence.
GCGCUGUUAGUGUAAUGGAUCGCACGAAAGAUUCCGGUUCUUUAGAUGAGGGUUCGAUUCCCCCACAGCGCA